CAGUCGAGCGAAUGGAUUAAGAGCUUGCUCUUAUGAAGUUAGCGGCGGACGGGUGAGUAACACGUGGGUAACCUGCCCAUAAGACUGGGAUAACUCCGGGAAACCGGGGCUAAUACCGGAUAACAUUUUGAACCGCAUGGUUCGAAAUUGAAAGGCGGCUUCGGCUGUCACUUAUGGAUGGACCCGCGUCGCAUUAGCUAGUUGGUGAGGUAACGGCUCACCAAGGCAACGAUGCGUAGCCGACCUGAGAGGGUGAUCGGCCACACUGGGACUGAGACACGGCCCAGACUCCUACGGGAGGCAGCAGUAGGGAAUCUUCCGCAAUGGACGAAAGUCUGACGGAGCAACGCCGCGUGAGUGAUGAAGGCUUUCGGGUCGUAAAACUCUGUUGUUAGGGAAGAACAAGUGCUAGUUGAAUAAGCUGGCACCUUGACGGUACCUAACCAGAAAGCCACGGCUAACUACGUGCCAGCAGCCGCGGUAAUACGUAGGUGGCAAGCGUUAUCCGGAAUUAUUGGGCGUAAAGCGCGCGCAGGUGGUUUCUUAAGUCUGAUGUGAAAGCCCACGGCUCAACCGU
rnacentral:rRNA from 2 species